AUUGAACGCUGGCGGAAUGCUUUACACAUGCAAGUCGAACGGCAGCACGGACUUCGGUCUGGUGGCGAGUGGCGAACGGGUGAGUAAUACAUCGGAACGUGCCCAAUCGUGGGGGAUAACGUAGCGAAAGCUACGCUAAUACCGCAUACGAUCUAAGGAUGAAAGCGGGGGAGCGCAAGACCUUGCGCGAUUGGAGCGGCCGAUGGCAGAUUAGGUAGUUGGUAGGGUAAAGGCCUACCAAGCCGACGAUCUGUAGCUGGUCUGAGAGGAUGAUCAGCCACACUGGGACUGAGACACGGCCCAGACUCCUACGGGAGGCAGCAGUGGGGAAUUUUGGACAAUGGACGCAAGUCUGAUCCAGCCAUUCCGCGUGCAGGAUGAAGGCCCUCGGGUUGUAAACUGCUUUUGUACAGAACGAAAAGGCUCUGGUUAAUACCUAGGGCUCAUGACGGUACUGUAAGAAUAAGCACCGGCUAACUACGUGCCAGCAGCCGCAGUAA
rnacentral:rRNA from 1 species